rnacentral:rRNA from 1 species
UACGUAGGGUGCAAGCGUUAAUCGGAAUUACUGGGCGUAAAGCGUGCGCAGGCGGUUUUGUAAGUCUGUCGUGAAAUCCCCGGGCUCAACCUGGGAAUUGCGAUGGAGACUGCAAGGCUAGAAUCUGGCAGAGGGGGGUAGAAUUCCACGCGUAGCAGUGAAAUGCGUAGAGAUGUGGAGGAACACCGAUGGCGAAGGCAGCCCCCUGGGUCAAGAUUGACGCUCAUGCACGAAAGCGUGGGGAGCAAACAGG